GAUGAACGCUGGCGGCGUGCCUAAUACAUGCAAGUCGAGCGAACAGACGAGGAGCUUGCUCCUCUGACGUUAGCGGCGGACGGGUGAGUAACACGUGGAUAACCUACCUAUAAGACUGGGAUAACUUCGGGAAACCGGAGCUAAUACCGGAUAAUAUAUUGAACCGCAUGGUUCAAUAGUGAAAGACGGUUUUGCUGUCACUUAUAGAUGGAUCCGCGCCGCAUUAGCUAGUUGGUAAGGUAACGGCUUACCAAGGCGACGAUGCGUAGCCGACCUGAGAGGGUGAUCGGCCACACUGGAACUGAGACACGGUCCAGACUCCUACGGGAGGCAGCAGUAGGGAAGCUUCCGCAAUGGGCGAAAGCCUGACGGAGCAACGCCGCGUGAGUGAUGAAGGUCUUCGGAUCGUAAAACUCUGUUAUUAGGGAAGAACAAAUGUGUAAGUAACUAUGCACGUCUUGACGGUACCUAAUCAGAAGGCCAGGGCUAACUACGUG
rnacentral:rRNA from 1 species